CUGCUUCAGCCCCUGAAGGGUUCCAGCCCAACUGUACAGCUAAGUGAAACUCUCUCACCCAGAAAGCCUCCGCUUCCCAAGUUCAAACAGGCUCACCACGCUCCACCAGGAGUGAGUUUGCCAGAGCAGCUCUGGCCCAAGCCAACCAGUACAGCUUCCUGAGAUCUUUGCAGUCCCACUGGUCAGGAGGCAGGGCUGGAAGUGGGGAGAACACUUGCCGCAGGAUGAGCAGUAAUGACCCAGAAAAUCCUCUCCAUGUGUCACUUGGAGUCGAACACAGUUCUCUAGGAGUGGUCUGGCCACAGAGGAAGAUACGGAGGCAGUCUCUCACUGAACCUUAGCUUGCCAUUUCACCCAGACUAACUGGCCAGCAAGCCUGUGGGAUCCUCCAGUCUCUGCCUCAAGAAACCAGGAUUGUAGGCAAGCAACACGGCACCUGGACUGUUUUCAUAUGGGCUCUGGGCAUAAAAAUCAGGCAGAGACAAUGUAGCAAAGUUGCUUUCCUGCUUGUUGCUUGUUCAGUUGCC
rnacentral:lncRNA from 1 species